UGCUGAAGCAACAAAUGCCCUGCUUCCAGGAAAAGCCUCUAAGCAUCAGGUAACAUCAAAUCGUACCCCAAACCGACACAGGUGGUCAGGUAGAGAAUACCAAGGCGCUUGAGAGAACUCGGGUGAAGGAACUAGGCAAAAUGGUGCCGUAACUUCGGGAGAAGGCACGCUGACACGUAGGUGAAGUGAUUUACUCAUGGAGCUGAAGUCAGUCGAAGAUACCAGCUGGCUGCAACUGUUUAUUAAAAACACAGCACUGUGCAAACACGAAAGUGGACGUAUACGGUGUGACGCCUGCCCGGUGCCGGAAGGUUAAUUGAUGGGGUCAGCGCAAGCGAAGCUCCUGAUCGAAGCCCCGGUAAACGGCGGCCGUAACUAUAACGGUCCUAAGGUAGCGAAAUUCCUUGUCGGGUAAGUUCCGACCUGCACGAAUGGCGUAAUGAUGGCCAGGCUGUCUCCACCCGAGACUCAGUGAAAUUGAACUCGCUGUGAAGAUGCAGUGUACCCGCGGCAAGACGGAAAGACCCCGUGAACCUUUACUAUAGCUUGACACUGAACAUUGAGCCUUGAUGUGUAGGAUAGGUGGGAGGCUUUGAAGUGUGGACGCCAGUCUGCAUGGAGCCGGCCUUGAAAUACCACCCUUUAAUGUUUGAUGUUCUAACGUGGACCCGUGAUCCGGGUUGCGGACAGUGUCUGGUGGGUAGUUUGACUGGGGCGGUCUCCUCCUAAAGAGUAACGGAGGAGCACGAAGGUUGGCUAAUCCUGGUCGGACAUCAGGAGGUUAGUGCAAUGGCAUAAGCCAGCUUGACUGCGAGCGUGACGGCGCGAGCAGGUGCGAAAGCAGGUCAUAGUGAUCCGGUGGUUCUGAAUGGAAGGGCCAUCGCUCAACGGAUAAAAGGUACUCCGGGGAUAACAGGCUGAUACCGCCCAAGAGUUCAUAUCGACGGCGGUGUUUGGCACCUCGAUGUCGGCUCAUCACAUCCUGGGGCUGAAGUAGGUCCCAAGGGUAUGGCUGUUCGCCAUUUAAAGUGGUACGCGAGCUGGGUUUAGAACGUCGUGAGACAGUUCGGUCCCUAUCUGCCGUGGGCGCUGGAGAACUGAGGGGGGCUGCUCCUAGUACGAGAGGACCGGAGUGGACGCAUCACUGGUGUUCGGGUUGUCAUGCCAAUGGCACUGCCCGGUAGCUAAAUGCGGAAGAGAUAAGUGCUGAAAGCAUCUAAGCACGAAACUUGCCCCGAGAUGAGUUCUCCCUGAGACUUUAGGUCUCCUGAAGGAACGUUGAAGACGACGACGUUGAUAGGCCGGGUGUGUAAGCGCAGCGAUGCGUUGAGCUAACCGGUACUAAUGAACCGUGAGGCUUAACCUU
rnacentral:rRNA from 1 species